AGGAUCAUUACUGAGUGAGGGUCCCUCGGGGCCCAACCUCCCACCCGUGUAUACCGUACCUUGUUGCUUCGGCGAGCCCGCCCCCUUUUUCUUAGGGGGGCACAGCGCUCGCCGGAGACACCAACGUGAACACUGUCUGAAGUUUUGUCGUCUGAGUCGAUUGUAUCGCAAUCAGUUAAAACUUUCAACAAUGGAUCUCUUGGUUCCGGCAUCGAUGAAGAACGCAGCGAAAUGCGAUAAUUAAUGUGAAUUGCAGAAUUCAGUGAAUCAUCGAGUCUUUGAACGCACAUUGCACCCCCUGGUAUUCCGGGGGGUAUGCCUGUCCGAGCGUCAUUGCUGCCCUCAAGCACGGCUUGUGUGUUGGGUCGUCGUCCCCCCCGGGGGACGGGCCCGAAAGGCAGCGGCGGCACCGCGUCCGGUCCUCGAGCGUAUGGGGCUUUGUCACACCGCUCUUGUAGGCCCGGCCGGCUGCUGGCCGACGCUGAAAAGCAACCAACUAUUUCUCCAGGUUGACCUCGGAUCAGGUAGGGAUACCCGCUGAACUUAAGCAUAUCAAUAAGCGGAGGAAAAGAAACCAACCGGGAUUGCCUCAGUAACGGCGAGUGAAGCGGCAAGAGCUCAAAUUUGAAAUCUGGCCCCCUCGGGGUCCGAGUUGUAAUUUGCAGAGGAUGCUUCGGGUGCGGCCCCCGUCUAAGUGCCCUGGAACGGGCCGUCAUAGAGGGUGAGAAUCCCGUCUGGGACGGGGUGUCCGC
rnacentral:rRNA from 1 species